rnacentral:sRNA from 1 species
GCUGGGCACGGUGGUGCAGGCCUGUGAUCCCUUUUACUGAGGUGGCUGGGGCAGGAGGAUCGUUAGGUUUGAGGUCAUCCUAGAGAAUUUAACAAGACUCCGCCUCAU